UGGCAUGUUACCUUUCAUUCUCAAAGCCCAAUUUCACCUCCCUAUAUUUUAGAAAUUAUUUAGUGCAAUAUUUAAUUAUAUCCAUCAUAUUAAUAUUCUAUGUGCUUUAUAACUUUAAUCCACUCUCCUUCUCCAUUAAUCUCCCACCCUCUCUCUUUUGUAACUCUUUUGCAUGCACCAUAAAAAAAAACUUUUUGCCACAUGACAUGUUACCCUUCAUUUUCAUAGCCCAACUUUAAAUCAAACCACAUUCUCCUCUUCUCAAUGUCCAACCCUUCACCUCCCCACUCCUCUAAUUACAUGCAAGGUGCAACAUUUAAUUAUAUACACCAUAUUUAUAUUCUAUCAAUGA
rnacentral:lncRNA from 1 species